UGCAAGUCGAGCGGUAAGGCCCUUCGGGGUACACGAGCGGCGAACGGGUGAGUAACACGUGGGUGAUCUACCCUGUACUUCGGGAUAAGCCUGGGAAACUGGGUCUAAUACCGGAUAUGACCUGCCGAUGCAUGUCGGUGGGUGGAAAGAUUUAUCGGUACAGGAUGGGCCCGCGGCCUAUCAGCUUGUUGGUGGGGUAAUGGCCUACCAAGGCGACGACGGGUAGCCGGCCUGAGAGGGCGACCGGCCACACUGGGACUGAGACACGGCCCAGACUCCUACGGGAGGCAGCAGUGGGGAAUAUUGCACAAUGGGCGAAAGCCUGAUGCAGCGACGCCGCGUGAGGGAUGACGGCCUUCGGGUUGUAAACCUCUUUCGACAGGGACGAAGCGCAAGUGACGGUACCUGUAGAAGAAGCACCGGCCAACUACGUGCCAGCAGCCGCGGUAAUACGUAGGGUGCGAGCGUUGUCCGGAAUUACUGGGCGUAAAGAGCUUGUAGGCGGUUUGUCGCGUCUUCUGUGAAAACUUGGGGCUCAACCCCAAGCUUGCAGGCGAUACGGGCAGACUAGAGUACUUCAGGGGAGACUGGAAUUCCUGGUGUAGCGGUGAAAUGCGCAGAUAUCAGGAGGAACACCGGUGGCGAAGGCGGGUCUCUGGGAAGUAACUGA
rnacentral:rRNA from 1 species